rnacentral:lncRNA from 1 species
CCCACCCAGUUAAUGGUAAAUACAGUGAUCACAUUCAUCACCAUGUAAGUGUGCAUCAGAAAUCUGUUUGUCAAAUGACGUCCCCUUUUUUACUGCAUCCCAAUUUUACUGGUGGGAAUGAAGGCUGACUUUGGGCACAUCCACCCAGAGGACUGAGGGCCGAGCAGGCUGUGCAGAUGGUGUGCUCACACCGUACAGCUGAGGGGACCUUAUGUUCUCCUAAAUUCUGGUCCCCCCCCGUGCUGCGGAUGGGCACGAGCAGCACAGAGCCCUGUGCUCGUUCAUUUUCCUUGUGCUGCAAGGAGGCCCGAAGUGCUCUGCAAAGAGGAAUCCCGCUGCACUCGCUCUGCUCAGAGUAGUGCAUUGUGGAAGCGGGAUUACCAAAUCAAGAGACCGCAAGCAUGCUUCUCCAUCACAGAGCUCCCCAGAAAUGUGGAAGAUGCCUCUUUUGUGGGCAUGGAAAACUACAACAGAGCUCAAGUGUUCCCACGCCAUAAUAUGAUGGAAAGGAGCAACAUCUCUAUAAUUUUCCCCAAGAAGGUUUAGCUUUCCAGAGACUGAGAAGGGCAACACCAAGUGGAUUGUUUUUCCAUAAGACUACUUUUGCGCUGUUGGGCAGAACAACAUUUGCCUAGCUUUGGACAGCCUUUGUGAUAAACAUCUGUGUGAAUAUGUAUAGCUGUGAACAGUGCCAAACCAAGAAGCUACUCUAUUUUGAUGCCCUCUAUUUUUAUGUUUUUCCUUUAGCUGUUUGUAAAACUGAUCGCAUCAUCUGUUCCAAAUAACUGCCGUGAAACAAUAACUUGUACAGAAAUGAUCAAAACCCAGAUAAAUGAAAACUUGGGGUUCAAAGACUUUCACAUGAAUAUUCUCUUAUCAUACAAGUGUUUGC